rnacentral:lncRNA from 1 species
UUUAGUACAAGCAAUAUUACAUAACCAAAAGAGUAAUUCGAAGUUAGAAAGUUUUCAUGUUGCUGAAGACUCAAAACCAGCAAAAUAACUAUAUUAAGUAGCAUGAAACAUAAGAAAGUUCUCCACUAUACUCAAAAGUCAACCAGCAGUUUAUCUACCAAAAGAGCUCACUAGCAAGUUACUACUGCAACAUCACUUGUUGAUCUAAGUAUUUACGAAGAUGAUACCAUAAUCCGUAAGUUCCAUUUUUCUUCAUGUGGCAAUGGUGAAUGCAUUUCAUUAUGCGCACUCCUUCAAUUUCCUCCACCUUUUCAUAGUGAUCCCAAAUAGGUGAUUGUAAUUUAGGCGCCAUGAUCAAACCUUUGCAACAAAAAAGACAUAAUUAUAAGUCAAAAACACAAUUGAUUGAUAAUAAAAUAUAUCAAUGUUAUAUCAUCAAAUAUACAUAAGAUUAUAAACUUACCAUGCAUGCCACAUGCUGCAACUAUAUGUCAAUAAUAGUUGAAUCUUUUGCACAAUUAGCCAAAUCUAAGGAAAUUAUUGAAGAAAACUUU